AGAGAAAGGAGAGGGGUUGUAGGUAGAGAGAGAGGAGAGGGGUUGUAGGUAGAGAGAGAGGAGGAGAGGGGUUGUAGGUAGAGAGAGAGGAGGAGAGGGGUUGUAGGUAGAGAGAGAGGAGGAGAGGGGUUGUAGGUAGAGAGAGAGGAGGAGAGGGGUUGUAGGUAGAGAGAGAGGAGGAGGGGUUGUAGGUAGAGAGAGGAGGAGGAGAGGGGUUGUAGGUAGAGAGAGGAGGAGGAGAGGGGUUGUAGGUAGAGAGAGAGGAGGAGAGGGGUUGUAGGUAGAGAGAGAGGAGAGGGGUUGUAGGUAGAGAGAGAGGAGGAGAGGGGUUGUAGGUAGAGAGAGGAGGAGAGGGGUUGUAGGUAGAGAGAGGAGGAGGAGAGGGGUUGUAGGUAGAGAGAGAGGAGGAGGAGAGGGGUUGUAGGUAGAGAGAGAGGAGGAGGAGAGGGGUUGUAGGUAGAGAGAGAGGAGGAGAGGGGUUGUAG
ensembl:lncRNA